AGAAUCAACGCUGGCGGCGUGCCUAACACAUGCAAGUCGCACGAGAAAGGGGAGCAAUCCCUGAGUAAAGUGGCGCACGGGUGAGUAACACGUGAAUAAUCUACCUCCGGAGUGGGGAAUAACUGAGAGAAAUCUUAGCUAAUACCGCAUAACACUUACGAGUCAAAGCAGCAAUGCGCUUGGAGAGGAGUUCGCGGCCGAUUAGUUAGUUGGCGGGGUAAUGGCCCACCAAGACGAUGAUCGGUA
rnacentral:rRNA from 1 species